CCCUUAGAUGAUUUGGGCUGCACGCGCGCUACACUGAUGCAUUCAACAAGCCUAGCCUUGACCGAGAGGUCCGGGUAAUCUUUGAAACUGCAUCGUGAUGGGGCUAGAUUAUUGCAAUUAUUAAUCUUCAACGAGGAAUGCCUAGUAAGCGUGAUUCAUCAAAUCGCGUUGAUUACGUCCCUGCCCUUUGUACACACCGCCCGUCGCUCCUACCGAUUGAAUGUGUUGGUGAGGAGCUCGGAUUGGCAGCAGUUGGUGGUUCGCCACCGGCUAUUGCUGAGAAGUCCUCCAAACCGCCCCAUUUAGAGGAAGGAGAAGUCGUAACA
rnacentral:rRNA from 1 species